rnacentral:rRNA from 1 species
GACGAACGCUGGCGGCGUGCUUAACACAUGCAAGUCGAACGGAAAGGCCCUGCUUUUGUGGGGUGCUCGAGUGGCGAACGGGUGAGUAACACGUGAGUAACCUGCCCUUGACUUUGGGAUAACUUCAGGAAACUGGGGCUAAUACCGGAUAGGAGCUCCUGCUGCAUGGUGGGGGUUGGAAAGUUUCGGCGGUUGGGGAUGGACUCGCGGCUUAUCAGCUUGUUGGUGGGGUAGUGGCUUACCAAGGCUUUGACGGGUAGCCGGCCUGAGAGGGUGACCGGCCACAUUGGGACUGAGAUACGGCCCAGACUCCUACGGGAGGCAGCAGUGGGGAAUAUUGCACAAUGGGCGGAAGCCUGAUGCAGCAACGCCGCGUGCGGGAUGACGGCCUUCGGGUUGUAAACCGCUUUCGCCUGUGACGAAGCGUGAGUGACGGUAAUGGGUAAAGAAGCACCGGCUAACUACGUGCCAGCAGCCGCGGUGAUACGUAGGGUGCGAGCGUUGUCCGGAUUUAUUGGGCGUAAAGGGCUCGUAGGUGGUUGAUCGCGUCGGAAGUGUAAUCUUGGGACUUAACCCUGAGCGUGCUUUCGAUACGGGUUGACUUGAGGAAGGUAGGGGAGAAUGGAAUUCCUGGUGGAGCGGUGGAAUGCGCAGAUAUCAGGAGGAACACCAGUGGCGAAGGCGGUUCUCUGGGCCUUUCCUGACGCUGAGGAGCGAAAGCGUGGGGAGCGAACAGGCUUAGAUACCCUGGUAGUCCACGCUGUAAACGGUGGGUACUAGGUGUGGGGUCCAUUCCACGGGUUCCGUGCCGUAGCUAACGCUUUAAGUACCCCGCCUGGGGAGUACGGCCGCAAGGCUAAAACUCAAAGGAAUUGACGGGGCCCCGCACAAGCGGCGGAGCAUGCGGAUUAAUUCGAUGCAACGCGUAGAACCUUACCUGGGUUUGACAUGGAUCGGGAGUGCUCAGAGAUGGGUGUGCCUCUUUUGGGGUCGGUUCACAGGUGGUGCAUGGCUGUCGUCAGCUCGUGUCGUGAGAUGUUGGGUUAAGUCCCGCAACGAGCGCAACCCUUGUUCACUGUUGCCAGCACGUUAUGGUGGGGACUCAGUGGAGACCGCCGGGGUCAACUCGGAGGAAGGUGGGGAUGACGUCAAGUCAUCAUGCCCCUUAUGUCCAGGGCUUCACGCAUGCUACAAUGGCUGGUACAGAGAGUGGCGAGCCUGUGAGGGUGAGCGAAUCUCGGAAAGCCGGUCUCAGUUCGGAUUGGGUCUGCAACUCGACCUCACGAAGUCGGAGUCGCUAGUAAUCGCAGAUCAGCAACGCUGCGGUGAAUACGUUCCCGGGGCU